rnacentral:lncRNA from 1 species
UGUAGUGUAAGAGGACAUUCACGAUCUCGUCCACCAAUCCCAUCUCUCAGAUCCUAUGGAUUUGCUUCAUUGGUUGCCAAAGUUGACAUUGCUGUCUUGUUGUUGUUCCAAGCUUCAGGUCCACUCUUGAAACUUUCAUCUAUCUUUGGCCCCGUCAUACUUCUCCAGCGGGAUCUGAUCUUGCCAUCUUCCCCAGCAAUUAGUCAUAUACCUCCAGCAUCAAUGGGAGUUCUUCCCAACAUUCCUUCCCCUUUCCUGUUAACCCCGACUCCUCGCAUCUUCUUGAUUAAGCCCUCAUACCACUCUGUGCUGUCCACUAGAGGGAGUGGGACUAAGGAAGAGUCAUGUAACCGGUCAUGAUUUGUCAAUCGGCAAACUAGGCCCCAUUGAUCCUGGUUCAUUUGGCUUGAAUGCAUCCUCCCCUCCAAGAGCUCCUGGCACUCCUGGAGUUGUUCUUGCUGCUCCCCCAAUCGCUGCAGCACCUGAUCCAGAUGUUGCAAAGAAAGCUGUGCAGAUGCGUACUGCUCACUUCCCUGCUUUUGAUCAGACAAGUACAGCUGCAUGAACGAACGGAGGGCAUUCUUGAUGUUUGUCAACAUCUCAGUCGAAACUAGUGGCGAUGGGGCUGACGAGUUUGUAGUCUCACCUUUUGUCUCUGGGUAGAUCUCACUGUCUUCUUGCCAUGCCAUGGCAAAGCCCUGGCGCCAUUCUCUUCACCUACGAGCUCCCAAGCGAACCAAGAACACGAACAAACCCUAGGGAUACCGUGAAAGGAAGAGAAGUGCCAAUUGAAUGGUUCUCACUGUUAUGCCCCUAGAAACUUCAUGAAAUGUCACUAUCCAAAUCGUGCAAAUUGGCAGUCUGGCUAGAGAAUUGGUGCUCCAAUACCACUGUUGCAUUCCUCCAUCAUUUUAUAGAUCUCUAAGCAUUCCUUAAAGGGAAAAGGAAUAGGGGUGGAAGGAAAAGAAAAGAAAUCAAGGAAGGGGAGAAGA